ACCUGCCCUCCACUCGUCCCCACUCCUGGGCGGCAGCUGCUGGUAUUGGUAUUACAGACCCAUUGGGCUUCUUUAGGCCGAGAUCCAUCUCCGGCAGCUGAAGGGCCUCAGAAACAUCCAUGCCAGUGCGCCUAUCAGCCUCCUUAAUGUCCAGAUGGAUGAUGAUCCCUCCUUUUCCUGCCAUAGAAACCAAGAGAACAAAUGGCCUGGGUUUUACUGAUCUACAUCUGUGCCGUCCAGGAUGGUGGCUUUUUAAAAUGACUUCUGUGGUGUGCAUGUGGUUCCUACUGGUCUAGGCUAAUCUAGAUCUACCACCCUCAUUGUUUCUUUCCAUACACCUCUCCCCUGCUUUCUGCUUGCUGUACAAACUGCCACACACCCCAUGUCAGCCGUGGGGGACCAUGUGUGUGUGGAGGAUGGCGCAGAGGACAUGGAGGCUGAUGGUUCUUCCUGCCUCUCAAGACCUCGAGCUCUGACAGCCUCAGAAAUCUCACAGCCAUGGCCUAAAGCUGGAAGACCCAUCCAUUGAUAAGGGAUUGUAAAUCAUGAUCAGUGGUGCAAAGGAGACCGUUUUGUCCUGAUCAACUCACGAGGAAACAAUGGAAGUAGUGCAUAGAAAUUUGUGCAGAUAGAAUCCAGUGACUUUUCAUCUACUUAACCCAUGCUUUCCUGCCAAAGUGCUAUACCCUAUGCCGAUCCAACAAAAACACAUUUGAGAACACAACGGCACCUCUUAAACCAAUGAAGGAGACAAGAAAGUGGGAACAU